rnacentral:misc_RNA from 1 species
UCAACCCUCAAGCCCCCGGCUUGGUGUUGGAGUCUCUGGCUGGGCUCACCCCCGGCCACUCCUAAAGACAAUGACGGCGGCGACGACGGUCCCCGGUACACUGAGCUUCUUACCGAGCACGUACUGGAACGGCCCCGUGGUCACGGUCUGCCUCCCCUUCAAGGGAGAAACCCCCCGGUUUAUCACCAA